rnacentral:rRNA from 1 species
UACGUAGGUGACCAGCGUUGUCCGGAUUUACUGGGCGUAAAGCGCGUGUAGGCGGCCCUGCAAGUCGGGUGUGAAAUCCCAUGGCUCAACCAUGGAAGUGCACUCGAAACUGCAGGGCUAGAGUCCUGGAGAGGAAGGUGGAAUGCUUGGUGUAGAGGUGAAAUUCGUAGAUAUCAAGCGGAACACCGGUGGCGAAGGCGGCCUUCUGGACAGUGACUGACGCUGAGACGCGAAAGCGUGGGGAGCAAACAGG